rnacentral:rRNA from 1 species
GUUCGUCGACUUGUGACGGCGGCGGGUUUUACUGGAGCGGAGGCGCAUUUCCUUUUCGUCCUCUUCGCUCGUGGGAAGGCGCAGCAGGUCAGAGGAGGAAGCCGUGAGCGUGACAAGUUGGCGAGAGAGGAGAUGGGGAAGGGCGGCGAGCUGUGGGACGACUCGGCGCUGGUGGACGCCUUCGACCACGCCGUCGCCACCUACAAGGCAAUGCAUGGCAAGAACAACCAAGGUGCUCCAUCCGAGAAACAAGAGUCAGAAGAUGUAGCUGCCGCUGCCGAUUCCGCUGCCGCGUACACUGCCGCUGCUGUUGCAGAAGAACCUGUCUCUACUGAAGUGGCAGAUGAGCAAACAGAGAAAAAUGACAGCUGCACUAACUUACCCAUUGGUCCAGUGGAGACACCACAGCAGCCCUGUGAAGAAAGAAAGACCGAUAAGCAAGCUCCUCUUCGAGAAACAAAUCUGGGCAAAGAGACAAAUAUCUCUGAAUCUAAGACAUGCUUCUCAGAUGUCACCAAUACUGAGGGAAAGGAUAGCUCAAACCAGCAGACAGAGGACUAUAAUGAAUUACUCAGGAAGUACUAUGAACUUGAGGUGCAAAGCCAGAAAGUUCUUGAGCAAUUACAUCAGACAAAUUAUUGGAAUUAUCAAACCCCUGAACAAUCUUCAGCAUACCAACAGCAGCAAGUUCCUGCUUACAUUGUCACAGCACCAGACCCAAACUCUUCAACCACUCAAACCUCAUGCUGCUCCUUGAAUGCUCCCAUGGUUUCAAUCUCCUGCUGUUCAACUGGGCAACAAAGUGGCGAUUCCUCUGGUAUGCUACCUAAUGGAGGCUGCAGCGUAUCGUUCACUUGUGAUCAUUGCCCUGGAGCAAGCACCACAUAUCCUACUGGUGCAGCCUUCACGCAGCUACCAACUAAGGUAUCUAGUGGCGAUGAUCAAGUUGCUAAGGCUGCUAUGAUGACUGCUGAAGGUGCCAUGAAUUUCAUGAGAAAUACAAUAUCUGGAAGUGCUGCCUCCUUUCCAAACAUAGGAAAUGAAGGUGGAAUUGGAAAGGAGAAUAACACAACUUUGGGCAUGAACCUGAAUUUAGACACCACAGGAGCAGACAGUGAUCUUGCUGUCGUACUGAAUGCAUGGUAUACAGCAGGGUUUUACACUGGCAGGUACCUCAUGCAGCAAUCGAUGAAAAAUCCCCGAGAAAAUUGAGUGCCAAAAGCCAUAUAGAGGCUCACCAAGGAUCCCUUUCACUUCGGGAAGAACUGAAAUAUGCACUCAAAUUAUGAUGGAACUGAACAUGCUGAUGGAGUUCUGCAACCACUGUUUUAUGCCAGCCAGCACUUUUUCAAGCAAGUAUUAGGGUAUGCUUACAUAUGAAUUAUGAAUUUGCUGUGACUUGCAGUAAAUGCUUGUCUGGAUAGUUAAGGAUUGGCUCAACCCCUUCAGAUUGGCAGGAAUUGUUGCCUGUCUAUUCAACUAAGUUCCAAGUGGGUAAAGAUGACGUAUUCAUGACCGUGUCGCCCAAAUUUGUGAAAUUCAGUACUACCCAGUAUGAAUAUAUAUUAGCUGAAUCCACUUCUCCAAUUUUAUGAAAAUCGUAAUGUGUAAACUACUUUCUUCAGGUAGCCAUUUGUGCCAUGUGCAUAGCUUUCCUCAGCGCCUGCACCUGGCAGCUUCCAAUCUUGACAGUUGGCCGCAGAAGUCAGCCAAAUUCGACAAGAAAAGUUUUGGCUUUGACGAUCU